GUGACCCGACCAAAACAUUUUUUGUUCAGAAAAGAAUCGUUCGUUUUAUUACUUGAGCGAGAAAACGGAAGAUCAGACAACGCGCAGAAAAUAAAUAUUUCAACAGCUGAAGAUUAUCCAGAAUUUCUUCUUCAAGAUCGUGUCUCAUAUUUUACGCUUCAUUUUAUUACUUUCCGUAAGAUCCAUAGUUGAAGACAAUAGGGGCAUGGAUGGAAAAGGGUGACGAAACAACCACGGGAGGGUUCUAUAGCUCUUUUUCUUCUUUCUCUCUCUCUCAUUUUUAUUUUCACGAUAUCGUUCCAACGAUUCUGUAGACAAUCCGUAAGGGCUUAGCGCUGUUUCAACAAAGGAUUACCACGCUACCCUAAGCUCCACGAGAUACCAGAUCGUACAAACCUGUACUGGUGACAAACAUUAAAAUUGCCAAGAUUAAUGUUACGUGGAGAGGUAAAUUUUUAUUCUACUAUAAAAUAAAACAAGAAAAAAAAAAACAACCGGUCAACGUUGUGUUUCCCAUCGUAAUUGCAAGGAUAACCAACAACAAAAGGAACGGUUGAUCCCACUGGAACUUUCGAUAGCCCGUACAAAGUAUUUCCCCGACAGCGUUUUAACGAAGUGGCGGAGUCGAACGACAAAGGGAGCAUCUCGUUUGACAAAGGACUCCUCUCUUUCUAUCGGGGGGGUUUUUUUUUCACCAACAACAAAAAGAAUAAAAGAAAGAAAGUGGAAGGAAGAAGAAGAUAAUGCUGCAACUUCGGUCCAGGUCCAGAUAAGAAUCCUCUAAACAAACUUCGAGUCUUCUCCAGAUGAUUCGGUGUUAUUACUUCAACUUGUGCGAGAUACUUCUGCAUGGUUGUUACCAAGUCUGGGACUGGAAGACUGGGUAGAGGUUCGACUCUCUGCAAUGUAGCCAUGGUCGUCACGACGACGUUCCUACAACCGACGAGGAAAGUUUUGCUGGAAGAGAAAAGAGUGCGAGGAAAGGAUGAAUGUUGUUUCCUACUUCUCUGAGCAAACACUGGCAAAUCGAACAAAUUGGCAAACAGUUGGUGAUGCGCAACCGUGCGAAGCAAUUACGGAUUUUGCGUGAACGCCACGUCGCGCGAACUCUUUGUAGGAGGGCGAAUAAGAGGAGAGAGAGAGAGAGUUUUCUACCAUUGGC